GUCUAUGGCCAUGCUACCCUGAACAUGCCCGAUUCCGUCUGAUCUCGGAAGUAAGCAGCGUCAGGCCUGGUCAGUACGUGGAUGGGAGACCACCUAGCAAGACCAGGCGCUGUAGGUG
rnacentral:rRNA from 1 species